rnacentral:tRNA from 1 species
NNNCCUGUAGUUGAGAACAACAAUGGCUUUUCAAGCCGUAGUCCUUGGAGUAUGACCAAGCGGGAAUA